rnacentral:lncRNA from 1 species
CAUGCUUAGCUACUAUUCGGAGUGCUCGUCUUGCAAGUCUAUGUAUGUAUGUAUGUAUGUAUGUAUGUAUGUAUGUAUGUAUGUAUGUGUAUGCAUGCAUGUGUGUGUGUAUUAUAUAUGUAUGUAUGUGUGUAUGCAUGCAUGUAUGUAUGUAUGUAUUAUAUAUGUAUGUAUGUAUAUACUUGUGUGUUUGUGCAUGUAUGUAUCUUACUUUUAACUUUCAUUUGUUUCAGUCAGUGAAUUGCGGCCAUGCUGGUGCACCGCCUUGAAGGAUUUAGCCGAAUAAAUUUCCACAACCCUUUUUUUAAAAUUCUGUUACGUAUUCUACAGCACUCUUCCUCCGAAUCGCUAAGUUAUUGGGUGUAAACGAACCAACAACAGUUGUCAAGCUGUAGGGGAUAGACACACACGCACACACACAUAUGCGAUCUACCAAAUUUACAGACAAGACAUUGAUCUACCCGGAACUAUAGAAGAAAACACUUGCCCAAGGUGCCAUGCAGUGACAUCGAACUCCGAAAUCCCGUCGACUACAUUAACAGAGUAUUUUUGCAUGCAUGUGUGUAUAGUGCAGUAUUUGGAGUCAGUGAAUGUGCAGAUAUGUAUAUUUUGUUUUAUAUAUGUAUUCUCGUGCAUAUAAGCUGCAUGUCUAGAUAUGCGAAUAUAUUUACUUAAAUGAUAACCUUCUGGGAAAUUUUACAAAUUUUUAUAGUCCCAGUGAUGGCUUGAAUCAGCAGUCUUCGAACGUCUGUAUGUAUAAAUAUAUGUAUGUGUGUGCGUGUGUACAUGAACGUUUUCAUUUUAGCUUUAUUUACAUUAUUCGUAGAUGUCAAGUUGUUUUGUAACAAAAAUGACAAGUCAUUGUUGUUUGGGUCAAGCUAGUUCCGGGGAUCUAGGAAUACGUGAGUGAGUCAAUGUGUGCAUAUAUAUAUAUAUAUAUAUAUAUAUAUAGCUGGGUGAAUAUAAACUCACUCCAGUAAUGGAUGUGUAAUGGUUUCUUUUGUGUACAAGAGUGUAAUUACGUUUCUUGUAGGUUUAAUAUGUACAUAUUUACGGCAAAUGAUACAAGUUGGCUUGUAUUCAUUUCGGAAAACUCAAACGAAGAAAAUUUAAAAUGUUUUACAAGUCCUCGUUGUACCUCUAAUCAAAUGCAUGUGUGUAUACAUGAAUGAGAAAAAAAAAACAGCCUUGUACAUGGACAUGUAUCCAAUCAUUUAUAUGCUAGCAUUAUUCAUAUAUAUAUAUAUGUACGUACGUGUGUGUAUGUAUAUACUCAUAUAUAUAUAUAUAUAUAUAUAUAUAUAUAUAUAUAUAUAUAUAUAUAUAUAUAGAGAGAGAGAGAGAGAGAGAGAGAGAGAAGCAGAGAAAGAAGAAAGAGAACGGACAAUGCAAGUAAAUUAUUGAGUGCAAACGGGUUUAUAUAUAGGUCACUAUACAACACUAUGAAUCUACAAGUCAUGACUAUAUAUGUGUAUGUGCGUGUAUGUGUGUACGUGUGUGUAUGUACUCACACACACACAUAUAUAAAUAUGUAUAUACAAUAUACAUGCAAAUAUAUUUACAUAUAUAUGUGUAUGUGUACGUUGUAUGGAUUUAUAUACACACGCUCACACAAAUACUGAAACAUAUGUCGAUGUGUACCUGCAUUCAAAGGUACUCUAGCAGCAUUCACAGGUACUCCACGACACUAUAAUACUCGACACUUAGUAUAAUACGGAGACACUUCCUUCCAGCUGAACCCAGAACUUAGACAGGUCAACGAAGAACCUUGUCUUACUUGAAAGAUCUGAAUUUGGAAAAGCGUCUGCUCAAUGAUCAGCGAAAGCCAAAAUCUAGCUACGCGCAAGUAUGGCUGCGUGGCUAAGAACCUCACAGCCAUAUUUGUAGCUUAGUAAUCACGCGGUUUCGGGUUCAUUUCUACCGCGCAACAACUUAGGCAACUGUUUUCUACUAAAUCCCCCGACCAACCAAAUAGCUUGUGAACGAAUUUAGUAGACGGAAACUGAAAGAUGCCCGUCGUUGGUGUAUAUAUAUGUACAUGUGUGUGUGUGUGUGUGUGUGUGUGUGUGUGUGUGUGUGUGUGUGUGUGUGUGUGUGUGUGUGUGUGUGUGUGUGUGUGUGUUCCCAUCCAUCACCGCUUGACAAGCGGUGUUGGUUAUUUUAUGUCUCUGUAACUUAUCGGUUUGGGGAAAGACACCGUCUGAAUAAAAACAAGACUCUUAAAUGUACUGCAGCCGAUUUGUUCGACUAAAUACCCCUUCAAAGCAAUGCCCUAGAAUGGCAACAGUCCAAUGACUGGAGCAAGUAAAAGAUAAGGGAUAGUCCUGGUGUUCAAGCCAGGAACAUUUUAGAAAUUUUACUCUGUACAAUGUCACUGAAGUAUUUCAUCAGAAAUGUCAACUUCAGAGAGAGAAAACAGCGGCUGUAUUUAUUAGGCAAAAACAAUCUUCUGGAUGCACUGCUAGAAGUAUGAUGUUGUUAUCAAUGCGGCAGUGUUAUGCAAUAUAUAAAAAAAGAAGGAAACGUAGCAAAAGGUGUGGAAUGCAAGUUGGUCCUCAGAGUAAUAGGCGCAAACAAACAUGCAAGCGAUUGAACGAUGAUGGUUGGAUGCCAAAACAUGCAUUCUAAACAAAUAGGAGAGAGUCAUUAGCAGCGAACUGUUUGAAUCACACCUUCACCUCUUUUCGCGGAAACUGCUAAGAAAAGACGCACAUGUGAUAUUUGGGGCAUUUCUAUAUGGCUUACAAAGACUCUCUCUCUUUCUCUCUUUCUCUCUCUCUCCUUCUCCUUCUCCCUCUCUCUCUCUCGCUUUCUCUCUCGCUUUCUCGCUGUCGUCGCAUGUAUCAUAUACUUACAUACGCAAUAAAUACAUUCGCACACACACAUAUGUAUAUAUGUAUGUAUACACACACACACACACACACACACACACACAUGCACACACAUAGACGUGUCAAAUAUAUUACAUACGCAAAUGUAUGUGUGGUGGUGGUGGUGGUGCAUGUUUAUCUCAGCCUUCUGCGUUGCCCCACAAGCUAUCCGUGUUCAAUUUUUGUGAACGAGGUUUUGUACGUUGUGUCGGAAGGGAUCGAUAAUUUUUACGAUGGCUGACAAAUCGGAGCAAAUAGCUCGCAUCAAAUUUUGCAUGAAGCUCGGUAGAUCUUUUACAGAGACCCUCAAAAUGCUUUUCUAGACUUUUAACAAAUGUUAUUUUGCUCGAUCGCAGGGGUUUGUGUGAUGCGCUAUUUUUAAGCCCAGUUGAGAGUUUAUUCUGUUUGGUGAACACCCAAAGAGACAAUUCCUUCUAAAAUCACAGAAGAUGUGGAAAUAACUUGUGAAUUCAUCAAUGAGGACAGUCGCUAAGCAAUCCAUCAGCUCUAUCAACUAGCUAGAACCAGUCACAGAUUUAAUGUGAAGCUCAAACCAAACUGACAAACUGUCGCUGUUUUCAAUAGAGUGUCAAGAACCAAGGGUUGAAUUUCACAGUAACGCGACCCUUGUUCAGAUUUUCUGCGAUGACCUCAUGAUAGACUACAUAACUAAUUCCACGCCAGAGAGGUGAUAGCUUGUUCUGCAACUGUCUUGUGAAUGGUUGCGAGUUAUUUGCCAUAUCUUGUGAGUGAACAAUCACUCUGAUAAAAUAUUUCACCCAAAAUUCUCGUCAUCUUGAUCCGAGACUUGAACCGAGUGACGCGAACAACUGAAAAAGUUGCUUUCGCGCAAAAGAAUGUUCAGCCAAGACUUGACAAAGCAUUUCAAAGAUUGCAAUAGGAGAUUUUGCGAGCUUCGUACAAGCUUCCAUGCUAAUGGGUUACUCGAAACUGUCAACUAUCAUAAGAUAUGCUAAGCCGUUAUACAUACAUAUACAUACAUAUACAUAUACAUACAUAUAUAUAUAUAUAUAUCCAUAUAUAAUACAUUGCAUAUAUACAUACAGGUGUGUGUGUGUGUUACAUAUGUAUAUGUUAAUGAACGCCUUUAUGUCGAGUUACAAUAAAAACGAUUUUGCAUGAAAUUGAAGGAUUACUGGAUACUUUUUGUGAUUAUUAUUCUUUUACAAGAAUAGUGUUGUAAUGGCUUCCCAUAAAGCCGAAACUUUGAAGUCCCUGACAACACAAUUCUUGUUGGAGAAUUAUGUGUGUGCGCGCGUCUGAUUGUGUAUGCAUAAAAAUCCAAAUUUUAUGCGGAGUAGAUACCGAUUCCACUCCUACACUUUGGAUUUUUUUAUUCGCUUCCUUAGCAGCGUUAGUUACUAACAGUGACUUGUUUGGAAACACUCAGCUUAUCGAAGUCGUAACUUAUGAUCUGAAUAAAUCAUUUUAUUCUAAACUGUCCACUUUUUGUUUUCUGUGCUAGCCACCUAUUGCUUGAAGCUCACUAAUUUCCUACACUUUAACCUAUUGUAUAUAGCCGGCCAGCCAGCCAGACAGACAGGCAGGCAGGCACGUAGACAGACAGACAGACAGACAGACAGAUAGAUAGCUAGAUAGAUAGAUAGAUAGAUAGAUAGAUAGAUAGAUAGAUAGAUAGAUAGAUAGACAGACAGACAGACAGACAGACAGACAGAUAGAUAGAUAGAUAGAUAGACAGACAGACAGACAGAUAUAGAUAGAUAGAUAGAUAGAUAGAUAGAUAGAUAGAUAGAUAGAUAGAUAGAUAGAUAGACAGGCAGACAGAUAGACAGACAGACAGAUAGACAGAUAGACAGAUAGACAGACAGACAGACAGACAGACAGACAGACAGACAGAUAGAUAGAUAGAUAGAUAGAUAGAUAGAUAGAUAGAUAGAUAGAUAGAUAGAUAGACAGACAGACAGACAGACAGAGGUGCUGUGCUGAGAUAGAGUGACAAAACUAUGGAUAAUACCAGAACGUUCGGAACUAAGCUGAAACUUAAAACCGCCGUAUAUAUAUAUAUUCCUAUGUACUGUAAAGCUAGACUGCAUGGUGUUUGCAAACACUGAACCGUUUCAACCAUGCACCAACACAACAUGAAAAAAAAAAUACAAAUCUAAAACUGAAUAUAUACAUCAAUUAAAUAUAAAUAAAUAGCUAAGAACUGGAGAGACUGGAAAUUCAGUUUUUCAUUCUGGGUCACGUUUUGCCUGCACCUAAAUCUGUUGUGUUAGUUUACUUGAAUUAAUUUUCCUUUCUUCUUUAUCUUUCUAAUACUUGUCGACUCACUAUUUCUUAAUACUGUUAAUAAAAAAAUAUGUUCAAAUCCGAUUAUGGAUUAUCUGAAUAUUGAUAAUUCUUUGUUUUUAGUCCAUUAUAAUAGGUUAUUCUGAAUAUGUUUUACUUGAAUGAUAACUGAAAGCUCUACUAAUGAAGGGUUCUGCCUGAGACCCUUAAACUUUUUGGUCAUUAGUACAAACUGAUUUAUUCUGCUUUCUGAACAUUUGUACUUAAUAUUUUACUUAGGCACUACCAUAUUACUAACUGCUACGACGGCAACAGACGACAACAACAACUACUACUACUACUACUACUACUACUACUACUACUAAUAAUAAUAAUAAUAAUAAUAAUAAUAAUCUUUUCUACUAAAAGCACAAGGCCUGUAAUUUGGAGGGAGGGGUUAAGUCGAUUAGAUCGACCCCAGUGCUCAACUGGUAUUUAUUUUAUCGACACCGAAAGGAUAAAGGGCCAAGUCGACCUCGGCAGAAUUUUAUCUCAGGACCUACAGAUGAACGAAAUGCCGCCAAGCAUUUUGUCCGGCGUACUAAGAAUUAUAACAGUUUUUAUCAUCCGUUAUACUCUAGCCUGAAAUUUUUGAGUUACUCGAAUACAUUGUCCCCAGGAUUUACUUUAUCGACCCUGGUAUGAUGAAAGGCAAAAUGGCCUAAAAGAAAUCCUGCUUUGCAUUUUAACCGAUGCACCAACAAUUCUACCAAUCACAAUAAUACCUCUGCCCGACUAACUCUGCUUCAAUAAACUGUUAAGUUUUCUUACGCAUGUCAGUGUCAUAUCUUCUCCCAUCUCGUCGUCUUUAUUGUUUCUCAUUUUUGGAUUCAUUGACCUCAACAUGAACAUGUUUCGUACAUAAAGAUAAAUGAGUCUAGAGGAAUCGUGUGGCUUUUAGGGACCUCUUCUUAUUUCUUCAUCCAUGAUGUGAACAAGUUGAAAUAUACACCUUAACCUGGAUUGUCUGCCCUUCUUUCACAAUUGAUAUUUCCCAUAUUGUUCCGUUAGUUCCAACACUUAAAUUGCAUGAAUGAGAUAUUGUAGAAAAAGUGUCUGCCUGAAAAUGCAAUAGAUUUGAAUUCAAAACCACUGUACAGGUAAUUUAAUCCAGACACGCUGUGACUGUCUCAUUCUAGCAUUGACCUUAUUACAUAAAUUAACAUGAGAUCAUACAAGAGGUCGCUGAGUUUUCAGAAAUUCGCCGCCAAACCUCUCAAAUUAUAUCUUAUUGCAUUCAGUAAGAAAAAGUCAUAUCAGAUAAUUUAGUCCAACUCAUCCUUAACCCAUUAAGUCCCAGAGUACUUAAAUUUCUGAAUAUUACUUUUAAAUUUUUACAGUUGAUUGAAAAUAGGUUAAAAUGGAAAAAAAAUAUUAAAACUCCUUUACUUUAAUUAGGAGACUGAGACAAUGUGAUUAUAGCUUAUUUAAUGUUCUCAUUUAGUGUCCUAUUUAUAGGACAGUGGGACUUAAUGGGUUAAACAAAAAGAGAUGGUCACUGCUGGAACAUCUAUGUUCAUAUGUAUGCCAUAUUAGAAUUGACCAACAACAAUUUCGUGUUGCCCACAACUUAGGCCGUCAGUAUGACCUUCAAUCUCUAUCAAUUACUCGCCAACAGUAGAAACAGUGGAGGCGCAAUGGCCCAGUGGUUAGGGCAGCGGACUCGCGGUCGGAGGAUUGCGGUUUCGAUUCCCAGACCGGGCGUUGUGUGCGUUUAUUGAGCGAAAACUUCUAAAGCUCCACGAGGCUCCGGCAGGGUGUGGUGGCGACCCCUGUUGUACUCUUUCGCUCCAACUUUCACUCUUUCUUCCUGUUUCUUGUCCCCGACUUCCUACGCAACCGCUGAGCCUGGAUGCGCAUUCAUCCAUGCUCUCGGUGUCGGGGGUUGACCUGCUUUCUCUUCUGCGGGUCUUACGAAUAGCAAAGGACCACUUUUCGGACUUCUCCCACUGCGGACAAGACCGUUCGCUCAACAGCAACAGCAACAGCAGAAACAACUUCUCGACUCGCGUUAUAUUGGCUAACUUAUAAACCUUGAACUGAGAAUAUUAACUAUUUCUAUUAAACAUCAAAUAUUUCAAGUAAUUUAACUAUUUCUGGGAAGUUUUACUUGUUAUUUCCAGAAAUUUUAAAUAUAAUUUCUUCCAUCGUUUUGGCGCAGACUCUCACAUCUCUGUGAACAGGUUAAAGCUGAUAGAACUUUGGCAUAUUUGCUUUACUUAUUAUACCUAUGAACACGAUAAAGAAAACUGAAUUAUAGAAGCUUCUAGAUAUUUAUCGCUUAUACAUAAUACACACACACACACACACACACACACACACAUCUACGCACGCGCGCACAUAUUAGUGUAUACACACAAGCACACACACACACACAUAUAUACAUUAUUCAGUUGUUCACUAGAAUUAUAACACCAAGCUAACUUAAAGAAUUCAAAGCUAAAACAGCAGAAUAAAUAUGAAAUUGUUUAUAAAAGUCGGAUGUUACAAAUGCCAUAAUGAACUUUUACUAAGAGUGCAACUCUCUACAUUUCUCGCAUUCGAUUUUAAAAUCUAACACAUUCAUACUCGCAUAGGCGUCGGUGUAUCAGUGAGUGUGCAUGUAUAUUUGUGUAUAUAUGAGUGUAUCUAUUUGUGUGUGCGUGUAAUUAUAUAUAUAUGAGUGUAUGUUUUUAUAUAUACAUACAUCAUGCGUGCACACGUGCAUACAUACAUACACGCAUGCUUACGUACGUACAUAUAUAUACGUACAUACAUUUAAUUUUUGUGGUCAAAACGAGAAAAGUAUACAAUAGAUGUAUUAAUAUAUUUAUUGGUCUAAAUUCGGUGUUUCACCAACUUCAUACUCGGAGUUCCACGAUGAUGUGCAUAUUCAGAAGGUCUGGAAGAUGGUGAAUUGAACUGUUGCUGUUUCCUAGCUCUCCUUCAGUCGUUGAGGUUCGGUGCGACGCUCCACUGCUGUCAGCUGGCAGACAACAACGAAGCUCACCAGAAUCCCUCCUCAACAGUUCAACUGUUUGUCAUUGGAACUUUUACAACCCUUUUGACGUGGGACUGCAAUGGCACGAAAUUUUCUCCUUUCUCUCUCUCUCUCUCUCUCUCACACACACACACACGCACUCAUGUAUAUAUAUAUAUAUAUAUAUAUAUAUAUAUAUAUAUUAUUUAUUAUUAUUUAAUUGAACGUGACGCAUCGAUUUCUAAGUUUAUAUAUACAUAUAUAUAUGUGUGUGUGUGUGUACAUUUAUGCACACACAUGUUAUGUAUAUAUAUAUAUAUAUAUAUAUAUAUAUAUAUAUAUAUAUAUAUAUAUAUAUAUAUAUAUAUAUAUCCCAUGGUUCAUAGAAUUCAUUUAUUAAAUUGCUUCUAUAAUUAUCAUUUUGGGAAAAGCAGUUGUGCAACGGGAAAAAUGCCAAGCGGUAUUUAGAUAUAUCUCUUUAAGUGCUGAUUUCAAAUGCCAGGAGGUCAUCUUUGCUGUAAAUUCUUCCGGGGUUGAUAAAAUAAAGUACAUGUCAAGAACUGGAUCAUUUCCAGGAUCCAAAGGGACCUAUACUUGUGGCUGUGCCCAGCGGUGACAGUGAGAAAAUAGCGGCUGAUAGGGGAGGGGAACGAGCUACAGCAGAAUAAACAAUACCAAUAUCUAUUAGAUGAUGAUUACAUGGACGAACUGAUGGUACUGAAAUAUACUGAGUACUUUGCUAUAAAUAUGGCCUGAAUAUAAGCAACAAGGGAGUAGGGUUGACCAAUGCUUUGUGGGUGAGUUUGAGUGACGGAAACUGCCUGGAAGCCUGCCAUGUGUACGUGUGCGCGUGUGUCGUUGUCGCCUGUUUAGUCCUACCCUCAUCGGUCAACAAGUUUUCGUUGGUUCUGGCGCAGAUACGAUAGAGUAGGUAAACCCUUCAAAGCGAUGUCCUAGCAUGGUUGUGCUCCAUUGUAAAAUGUAAAUGAUACUAUCAUAUGCUAAAGCACGAGUACCUGGAGGACUUAUGCUGUUUCUCGUUCUGUCACCAUUGACGUACCCAUUUAGGUGCAUCCGACUCUUGUACGAGAACUGAAAAGUGGGCAGGGGGCAUAAAGUACUCUCACAUGACCUAACCAGUGAGUUCUCUCACAAGGAGUGGGUGGGAAUUCCUAUACGAAUCUACUGAUUAAAUACCAUUUUUCUUUGAUUCAUUGAGCUCUCUUUUCUGGUUAUUUCUAUAUCUUCUUUAUUUCACCGUAAAUUUUUAAGAUGCCUUUGUACCUAACCUGGCCCACCCUCCAUAAUUUUUCAUGACUACUUUGUCAUACCCCACACAUUUUUGUAACUUCUCGUCUUAACGUUCCACAUUUUGUAUGCAUGAAUGAUGAUGCAUGCCAUUGCCCUUAGCGGCAAAUCCGAGGCGUGGUUUAAUUGCUAGAAGAAAAUUAUUAUUAUUAUCAUUAUUAUUAUUAUUGUUAUUAUUAUUAUUAUUAUUACCACUACUAUUACUAUUAUUAGUUUAUGCUAUUUCAAUUAGAACCUGUUCUAAUGGAUUUUUACGUGACGAUUCCUCCUUUUAUUUCUUAAUUCAUUCCAAAGGACUUUCUUUGAAAAGCCACUUAGUGCCACACCUUGUAUUCCUUCUAUUCCGCUUCGAUGAGUCUGUAGAAUACUUAAUAUAAUAAAUACUAAAUAAAUAAAGAAAAAAUAAUAAAAGAAAAAAGGGAGCUACUUUUAGUCAAAUUAAUAAUAGCUGUUGCGUUUUAGCCCUAUUUCAUACUUGAUCGAGAAGACCCUUGAUCAAAGACAAUCCAUUCCUGAACAUCCUGUAUUUUUAUAGGCAUUGUGUAUCCAGGAA